rnacentral:rRNA from 1 species
GACGAACGCUGGCGGCGUGCUUAACACAUGCAAGUCGAACGGAAAGGCCCUGCUUUUGUGGGGUGCUCGAGUGGCGAACGGGUGUGUAACACGGGAGUAACCUGCCCUUGACUUUGGGAUAACUUCAGGAAACUGGGGCUAAUACCGGAUAGGAGCUCCUGCUGCAUGGUGGGGGUUGGAAAGUUUCGGCGGUUGGGGAUGGACUCGCGGCUUAUCAGCUUGUUGGUGGGGUAGUGGCUUACCAAGGCUUUGACGGGUAGCCGGCCUGAGAGGGUGAACGGGCACAUUGGUACUGAGAGACGGACCAGACGGCUACGGGAGGCAGCAGUGGGGAGUAUUGCACAAUGGGCGGGAGCGUGAUGCAGCAACGUCGCGUGCGGGAUGACGGCCUUCGGGUUGUAAACCGCUGUCGCCUGAGACGAAGCGGGAGUGACGGUAAUGGGUAAAGAAGCACCGGCUAACUACGUG